GGCCUGCACAUUCACGGAAAACAGCUAAAUCAAGUAGAUGGUCCAAAAGGAAGGAGACAGAUUAUUCAUUAAACGUCGAUAGAGGUACACGAAAUCACCAUUUUUUGAAGGUGUGUUUUGUUUGUGGACUUAGAACUUACAAGUUUAUUUAUAAGAUCUAAUGGUGGGAAUUAUAUGA